rnacentral:rRNA from 1 species
AACGAACGCUGGCGGCAUGCCUAACACAUGCAAGUCGAACGAACCCUUCGGGGUGAGUGGCGCACGGGUGCGUAACACGUGGGAACCUGCCCUUAGGUUCGGAAUAACACAGAGAAAUUUGUGCUAAUACCGGAUAAUGUCUUCGGACCAAAGAUUUAUCGCCUUUGGAUGGGCCCGCGUAGGAUUAGCUAGUUGGUGAGGUAAAGGCUCACCAAGGCGACGAUCCUUAGCUGGUCUUAGAGGAUGAUCAGCCACACUGGGACUGAGACACGGCCCAGACUCCUACGGGAGGCAGCAGUGGGGAAUAUUGGACAAUGGGCGAAAGCCUGAUCCAGCAAUGCCGCGUGAGUGAUGAAGGCCUUAGGGUUGUAAAGCUCUUUUACCUGGGAUGAUAAUGACAGUACCAGGAGAAUAAGCCCCGGCUAACUCCGUGCCAGCCGCCGCUGUAAAAC